GGUUUCUGUGUAUUUGUGAGGGGGAUGCAUAUCAAAAAUGAUUUCUGUCAAAAGCCACUAAAAUGUUUGCCAUUUAACAACAAAGCAUCUUGCAAGUUAAAGGAAGAGCACUAAUGGGAUGGAGGUCUCUUUGUUUUAAACUCCUGGACUUGAGGCUUGUGAGUGGAGAAGUAUUGCCAAUCCAGGGUGCCCAGAAUGGUUUGCCAGGCGUGUGGGUGUGGAGCCACCUGCCUUAGCCCUGCUGUGCCGCUGACUGAGAGCCACCUGAGCCUCAGAGAACUAGGAAAUCUACGGUAUCGCACCUACCGGUUCUGUAAAAGCUGCUGUCUUGAAGCUGCAUAAGGAUAGUAUGAGCUGGAAGUUG